CACCUCUAGCAUCACCAGUAUUAGAGGCACUGCCUGCCCAGUGACACUAGUUAAACGGCCGCGGUAUCCUGACCGUGCAAAGGUAGCAUAAUCAUUUGUUCCUUAAUUAGGGACUUGUAUGAAUGGCCCCACGAGGGUUUAACUGUCUCUUACUUUCAAUCAGUGAAAUUGACCUCCCCGUGAAGAGGCGGGGAUAUAAAAAUAAGACGAGAAGACCCUAUGGAGCUUAAAUUAAUAUGCUCAACAAAAUUUAAACAUAGCCCAACAGGAGUAAUUAUAAUUUAACUGAGCAAUAAAUUUUGGUUGGGGUGACCUCGGAGUAUAACAAAACCUCCGAGUGAUUUAAACUAAGACGAACCCGUCAAAGUUACAUAACUUAUUGAUCCAAUCACAUUGAUCAACGAAACAAGUUACCCUAGGGAUAACAGCGCAAUCCUAUUCGAGAGUUCAUAUCGACAAUAGGGUUUACGACCUCGAUGUUGGAUCAGGACACCCAAAUGGUGCAGCAGCUAUUAAAGGUUCGUUUGUUCAACG
rnacentral:rRNA from 1 species